AUACGUAGGGGGCGAGCGUUGUCCGGAAUGACUGGGCGUAAAGGGCGCGUAGGCGGCCCGGUACGUCUGGAGUGAAAGUCCUGUUUUUAAGAUGGGACUUGCUUUGGAUACUGUCGGGCUUGAGUGCAGGAGAGGUAAGUGGAAUUCCCAGUGGAGCGGUGAAAUGCGUAGAGAUUGGGAGGAACACCAGUGGCGACGGCGACUUACUGGACUGUAACUGACGCUGAGGCGCGAAAGUGUGGGGAGCAAACAGGAUUAGAUACCCUGGUAGUCCACGCAGUAAACGAUGAUGGCUAACCGCUGGAUCCAUCGGUUCAGUGGCCAAGCGAAAGCGAUAAGCCAUCCACCUGGGGAGUACGACCGCAAGGUUGAAACUCAAAUGAAUUGGCGGGG
rnacentral:rRNA from 1 species